GGGGGGGGGGGUAUGCCGACCAAAACAUAGCAGGUCAGCUUUCACAUAUCUUUGCGGGCAAGGCAUCCCCGCCAUUUUACUCAGGUUCUCCUCCUAUCCGUUCUAGUAACCCUGUAACCCAAGAUGCCCGUUUCCGUGAACAGAGGGGUCAAGCAAACCCUAUUCGUGAUUUUUGUAUAGAAAGUUCAGAAGUUGAUCGGAUUCGAAGCAUCACAACGAUGGCCUGAGACAAUUUUCCCACGCAUACCACCACACCUACGUGUUAUCUGUAUCAAGUGAGCUUAUUCGGUUUUUGUAACUGCGAAACUGUAGGAUUCGAUUAUCAUGUAUAAAGUUUCAUUUCUUCAAGUUAGUUUACCUUCCUUCAAAACUUUGGUUUUGUUAAGAAGUUAUGUAAAUCCUGUAGCUUUUCAGGCCUUCAUUAUACAAUGAAUCGGAAACAAAGAGUUUCUGAUCUGAGAAUGGUUGAUGAAUAAAUUUUAUCUUUUUGGUACUA